rnacentral:rRNA from 1 species
CCUACGGGUGGCAGCAGUGGGGAAUAUUGGACAAUGGGGGGAACCCCGAUCCAGCCAUGCCGCGUGUGUGAAGAAGGCCCUCGGGUUGUAAAGCACUUUCAGUGAGGAAGAACGCCUGGUGGUUAAUACCCAUCAGGAAAGACAUCACUCACAGAAGAAGCACCGGCUAACUCCGUGCCAGCAGCCGCGGUAAUACGGAGGGUGCGAGCGUUAAUCGGAAUUACUGGGCGUAAAGCGCGCGUAGGUGGCUUGAUAAGCCGGUUGUGAAAGCCCCGGGCUCAACCUGGGAACGGCAUCCGGAACUGUCAAGCUAGAGUGCAGGAGAGGAAGGUAGAAUUCCCGGUGUAGCGGUGAAAUGCGUAGAGAUCGGGAGGAAUACCAGUGGCGAAGGCGGCCUUCUGGACUGACACUGACACUGAGGUGCGAAAGCGUGGGUAGCAAACAGGAUUAGAUACCCGAGUAGUC